UAGGGAAUCUUCGGCAAUGGGGGGAACCCUGACCGAGCAACGCCGCGUGAUUGAAGAAGGUUUUCGGAUCGUAAAGCUCUGUUGUUAAGGAAGAACGAGUGUGAGAAUGGAAAGUUCAUGCUGUGACGGUACUUAACCAGAAAGGGACGGCUAACUACGUGCCAGCAGCCGCGGUAAUACGUAGGUCCCGAGCGUUGUCCGGAUUUAUUGGGCGUAAAGCGAGCGCAGGCGGUCAAUUAAGUCUGAUGUGAAAGCCCCCGGCUCAACCGGGGAGGGUCAUUGGAAACUGGUUGACUUGAGUGCAGAAGAGGAGAGUGGAAUUCCAUGUGUAGCGGUGAAAUGCGUAGAUAUAUGGAGGAACACCAGUGGCGAAGGCGACUCUCUGGUCUGUAACUGACACUGAGGCUCGAAAGCGUGGGGAGCGAACAGG
rnacentral:rRNA from 1 species